rnacentral:rRNA from 1 species
AGUGAACGCUGGCGGUAGGCCUAACACAUGCAAGUCGAACGGCAGCACAGUAAGAGCUUGCUCUUACGGGUGGCGAGUGGCGGACGGGUGAGGAAUACAUCGGAAUCUACUUUUUCGUGGGGGAUAACGUAGGGAAACUUACGCUAAUACCGCAUACGACCUACGGGUGAAAGCAGGGGAUCUUCGGACCUUGCGCGAUUGAAUGAGCCGAUGUCGGAUUAGCUAGUUGGCGGGGUAAAGGCCCACCAAGGCGACGAUCCGUAGCUGGUCUGAGAGGAUGAUCAGCCACACUGGAACUGAGAGACGGUCCAGACUCCUACGGGAGGCAGCAGUGGGGAAUAUUGGACAAUGGGCGCAAGCCUGAUCCAGCCAUACCGCGUGGGUGAAGAAGGCCUUCGGGUUGUAAAGCCCUUUUGUUGGGAAAGAAAAGCAGCAGGUUAAUACCCCGCUGUUCUGACGGGACCCAAAGAAUAAGCACCGGCUAACUUCGU